rnacentral:lncRNA from 1 species
AACAGUAAUUUAGAAAACCUUUUGGUUUUUAUUAUCCUUGUUUUUGCUUAGCCAAUCUCCUCGUAAGCAUUUGGCUGCAGCAAUGUUACAAAAGUUUGCCCAAACACUGGAUUAGCAAAUGGAUUUUUAGAUUAAAAGAUAAUACGUUGCAAAUGCAUGGUUACCAAAUAUCUUUUGCCCCCAUAUUUAGAAAUAACAUACAGAAAUCAAAACAGACCUUGAUGAAAGCUCCUUUCUUGCUUUGGCACAGAAUCUAGUGUUAGAUUCAGAGAGAUUCUGAAUGGACUAAAUAGUGCACUGUAAGAGGUUUUACAAAGAGGAAGGAAAGAGGGAAAAAAACAAGCUUUUCUUCUAAUGCUGGUGGUUCCUGCUAGCUGCAGUGACUUUCUGCAGUUUUCCUGAUUUCUUUACAGAUUUUAUAGCUUAUAUUCAGUCAUCAAAUCUCUCUGCUUCUGCUCUGGUAUUCACUAAAGGUUUUCCUGGUUAACCAGAAGAUCCUUUCAUGGAUAUUGGCAUGUGCUACCAUGUUACCACUCUUUACAGAGAAACACCUUUUUGUCUUCAAUUUACAGAGAAAGAAUCCUUCCUGAAAGGAUGGCAGCCUCCUGUCCACACUACUCCAUUUCACUGGUCAGGGCUCUGA